UGCAACAAGCCUAAACAUGCACUGCAAUACGUCUCCCUUCUGCAAUGACCCUAGGAAAAAGGGCAGGCUUUGCCCCUCCUCUUCCUGUCUGACAGAACAUUCCCCUUCAUCACAUCCUCUUUCUUCCGGAGGUGACUCUCGCCCUUGCCCCAGGGUGGAAAGGGUUCAGGAAACAGAAACCAGCUUAUCGUAAGGAAACAAAGGCCAGGAAUCGUUCAAAAACAUUUUAUCUGUUACAAGGAGGAAAGAAGUCUCUAGGACAGCAAGGAUUUGCCUCAGCAGGGAAAGGCCAGGACCUGGUGGAAGAGACCGCCCUUCACGGAGGGAGCUAGGUGCCCAGGUCGCUGCCCAGGGGGCUCACCCUGCCCUUGUCCACAGGGGUAGGAGGAGCCUGGGUCAAGAAGGACCCAGGUGUGCGAGGUCUGCAUCCGCAGUAUCAGGCACGGGGUCUGGCUCAUUAGAUUUACGGAGAAAGUUAUAGUCAAUGGAAUGUAGGAAUUCUGGCCUUUGCCAGCGACUCACUCUUUGGCAUGGUCAAGCUUUAUUGGCUACUAGAUUUCACAGAGAUUCUGAAAUUAUCAGACCAGGAAUUUAAAAUAACUAUGAAUAAUAUGUCAAGAGGUCUCAUACAGAAGGGAGACAACUUAAGAACAGAUAAGAGCAGAGAGAUGGAAACUCAAAGAAAGAAUCAAAACAAAAUAUUAGAAAUCAAAACCACUGCGGCAGAAAUGAAGAAUGAAGAAUGCCUUUGAUGGGCUCAUCAAUAGACUACACAUGAAAAAAGAAAUCAGUGAACUUGAAGAUAUGUGAAUGGAAACUUCCCAGACUGAAAAGCAAAGAGAAGAAAAGAAUCAAAAAGAUGUAACAGGAUAUCCAAGUAUUAUGGGACAAUUACAAAAGGUGUCAUAUAUAGUGAUUGCAAUACCCAAAGAAAGGAAAAAACAGAAGUAAGACUUAAACUAUUCAAACUGCAGAAAAUUUGAGACAGGGAGCAAAUCUUUUUUUAUUAAAAAAAAAUUUUUUUAAUGUUUGUUUAUUUUUGGGAGAGAGAGACAGAGCAUGAGCGGGGGAGGGGCAGAGAGAGAGGGAGAUGCAGAAUCGGAACCAGGCUCCAGGCUCUGAGCUGUCAGCACAGAGCCUGACGUGGGGCUCCAACUCACGAACUGCAAGAUCAUGACCUGAACUGAAGUGAGAUGCUCAACUGACUGAGCCACCCAGGCGCCCCAACCCCUAAAAAAGUCUUUUUAAGAACUAUAAUUGAUACACUAUGAGAGGAGAGAAAAACUGAAUCAUAUAAAAUGCUCAAUUAAAAUCAGAGAAGGCUGUGAUGCCUGGCUGGCUCAGUCGGUGGAGCAUACUAGACUCUUGAUCUCAGGGUCAUGAGCUAGAGUUACAUUGGGUGUAGACACCAAAAAACCAAACCAAAACAAAGAACCAAACCCCACCCCUGCCCCCACAUGAAAAUAAAGAACAAGAGAACAAUGAAUAAAAAACAGUUAUAAAUAUGGCAUAUAUUAAUUCAGCUAUAUCAAUAAUCACUUUAGCGGUGCGUGGGUGGCUCAGUUGGUUAAGUGUCUGACUUCAGCUCAGGUCAUGAUCUCAUGGUUCAUGAGUUGGAGCCAUGUGUCAGGCUCUGUACUGAUAGCUUGGAGCCUGAGCCUGCUUUGGAUUCUGUAUCUCCCUCUCUCUCUGCCCCUCCCUGCUCACACUCUCUGUCUCAAAAAUAAAUAAAACAUUAUUAAAAAAAAAAAAUAAUCACUUUAAAUGUGAAUGAUCUAAAAAUACCAAUUAAAAGAGACUGUCAGAGUGGAUAAAGUAACAAGACCUAGCAAUAUGUUGUCUAUAAGAUUAAAUAUAAAGACAUUAAAAGUGAAGAGAUGGAGAAAGAUAUACCAUGUUAAAUCCUCCCAAAAGAAAGCAGCAGUAGCUAUAUUAAUUUCAGACAAAUUAUGUCCUGCAAUAUCUUGGAAGGCAGUGCUCAUGCCAGUCAGGCUCACAGCUCGAGAAGUGUUUGAGGAAGGUCAGAAUGUUUAUGUAUUUGACUGCUUUCUCUGUCUUUCGCUAAGUCCUACGAGAGGGAUGAGUCCAGGCAAGAGGUAGGUUUGAAAGCAGAGUGAAAUGGAAUACAUUUCCAAGGAGGGAGGUUUGGUGAAACCUUUCUCAUGUGCUCUUUACCAGUCAACAGGAGCCAGCCAGAUUAAUAAAGUUUGGUUGCUUCCCAACCUAAGCCAGUUGCCUCACAUAGCAUCAGGUUAUCCAUCAUAUUUUGAGUGCGGGUGUGAGCCAUGUGUGUAAAAGAGGAGACUCUUCGGGCUUUCCAGACAUGAUGUGUGGUUGUGGUUACUUGACCAUGGAGUUGAAUGGAAGGAAAUAUACCAGAAAUGUAUUAAGAAUCCACAAGACUGGCCCUCAAGAACUAGUAAUUCUUCAACCCCUAAAGCAAUCCCCAGGGCUCCCACAACUGAACCUACACAAGAGCAUUACCCUUCAAUACCACUUCAGAUGUGGCUAUGAAGCAUGAUUGAUGGAAGAACCUUUCAAAGGCAAAGCUGAAGGCCACAGUGGGCAAUAAAGAAGGAGAUUGUCUGGCAGAGCUCGAGUCUAAUGGAGAAACACACUUAAUUGCCAGUGCAGGGAGCCUUUCGCCUUAGCAAGCAUUACACCAUUGCCGUUCAAUGAUUGCUGUUUCCUUCCUUUUCUUUGUUUUUCCAAAAGAAGAUUCUUAUGAUCCCAUUCUUAAUUCAUCACUCUUUUUGGUGAGUGGAGGUGGGGAGGACACAUAAUCUGUUUUUCAGAAGAUGCUCACAUGAAACCGUCCCAGAGAGUCCUGAUGGGGGAAUGCAUGUCACAGAGAUCCUAGAUUUUGAACUGAAUGCAGUGGCCAGAUGGAAAUUUGGGUUGUUUCACUUGAACAGGGGACAAGUGUGUUUUAUAUGUAGGAAGAAGGCUGAGUGUGUGUAAUUGGGUUAUCGUGGGUGGGUUGUGGCUGAAACUGUAUGCAUUUUCCCCUCUCCCUCUAGCAAUAGAAUUAUCAAAUUUUAGAUUAGCAUAUGGUCAUUCCGUCAAAGGCUAUAUUUCUCAACCUCCUUAGCAUAGCUGGGUUUGAACAUGUAACUUGCGUCUAGUUAAUGGGAUGUGACAAGAAUUCAUAUAUACCAUAUAUUUUUAAACUAUUAAAAGAAAUAGGCAUGGCUCCCUUAUUCCUUCCUCUCUUGCCAGUGGCUGAAAAGUAGCAAGAGCUGAAGUAGGCAUUGUAGGUUACAAGAGAGCAGCCACGGUGGAAUAACAAAAUAGAAGGGGUGUGACCCUCAGCACCUCAGAGUUGCCAUAUUAGCCCUGGAGUGCUUAUGUUCAAACUGAUAAAGAGAGAAAUGCAUCUCUUUCAUGUUUAUUUGGGUCUUAGAGCAAAUAAAGCUUAUAACCUAAUUAAUGCAAGCUUCUGA